rnacentral:rRNA from 1 species
CAGCCGAGCGGUAUAGAUCUUUCGGGAUCUAGAGAGCGGCGUACGGGUGCGGAACACGUGUGCAACCUGCCUUUAUCAGGGGGAUAGCCUUUCGAAAGGAAGAUUAAUACCCCAUAAUAUUUAGAAUGGCAUCAUUUUAAAUUGAAAACUCCGGUGGAUAGAGAUGGGCACGCGCAAGAUUAGAUAGUUGGUGAGGUAACGGCUCACCAAGUCUGCGAUCUUUAGGGGGCCUGAGAGGGUGAUCCCCCACACUGGUACUGAGACACGGACCAGACUCCUACGGGAGGCAGCAGUGAGGAAUAUUGGACAAUGGGUGAGAGCCUGAUCCAGCCAUCCCGCGUGAAGGACGACGGCCCUAUGGGUUGUAAACUUCUUUUGUACAGGGAUAAACCUACCCUCGUGAGGGUAGCUGAAGGUACUGUACGAAUAAGCACCGGCUAACUCCGUGCCAGCAGCCGCGGUAAUACGGAGGGUGCAAGCGUUAUCCGGAUUUAUUGGGUUUAAAGGGUCCGUAGGCGGAUGUGUAAGUCAGUGGUGAAAUCUCACAGCUUAACUGUGAAACUGCCAUUGAUACUGCAUGUCUUGAGUGUUGUUGAAGUAGCUGGAAUAAGUAGUGUAGCGGUGAAAUG